UACGUAGGGACCGAGCGUUGUCCGGAAUCAUUGGGCGUAAAGAGCGUGUAGGCGGCCACUUCAGUCCUGCGUGAAAUCUUGCGGCUCAACCGCAAGCGGUCGUGGGAAACUGGGUGGCUAGAGUGCGGGAGAGGAGAGUGGAAUUCCUGGUGUAGCGGUGGAAUGCGCAGAUAUCAGGAAGAACACCCGUGGCGAAGGCGGCUCUCUGGACAGUUCCUGACGCUGAGGCACGAAGGUCAGGGGAGCAAACGGG
rnacentral:rRNA from 1 species